rnacentral:rRNA from 3 species
UACGUAGGGGGCAAGCGUUAUCCGGAUUUACUGGGUGUAAAGGGAGCGUAGACGGAUUAGCAAGUCUGAUGUGAAAGGCAGGGGCUCAACCCCUGGACUGCAUUGGAAACUGCCAGUCUUGAGUGCCGGAGAGGUAAGCGGAAUUCCUAGUGUAGCGGUGAAAUGCGUAGAUAUUAGGAGGAACACCAGUGGCGAAGGCGGCUUACUGGACGGCAACUGACGUUGAGGCUCGAAAGCGUGGGGAGCAAACAGG